AGUGAGCUGUACUUUGUCAGCCGUUAAGGAUGAUUAAAGGGACAGACUUAAAAGGGAAUGCAGUGAGAUGCUGCAGCAGCCCCCGCUACUGUAAGAAGGAUGAUUUUUUGUGUUACGCCACUGUGAUUUUAUCAUGGGAAGGUUAAAAAAUCAGGAGAGUUCGAGCCAGGAGACCUGCUGACAAGGGGAUUUCUGC
rnacentral:ncRNA from 2 species